CAUCACCCCAUUCGCAUGGGUCAGCACUGGUUAAUAGUAGUCUUAUGGUCAGCAUUGGCACUGCAUGUAGUCAAGGCUGGUUAUAGUCAGAUCACUUGACCUAUGAACUCAAGAUAUACCACAGCACACGGUUUGCACUGCACUGCACUACUCACUGGACUGGACAACGCAGCUGGUUGGUACAAGGUGGAGAGUAGUGCUAGUGAUCAGUAGAAUCAUGACUUCCCGAACAGUGAUCACAAUAUCCCAGAGAGAAUUUCUUGUGAGGAAAUUUGAAGAAGGGAUGCACAGUUGUGGACAGAACACUCUGAAUGCUCGACAAGCUGCUGCUACUGCGACUGGCUUGACAUUAAAUACUAUAAACUAUUGGAUAAACAAUCACAAGAAACGGCACACCAGCUCUCAUUGUGACACUGUUCCUCGUGCUAGAACUAAAAAGCUGUCCACACGUAGGAAAUUAAGGUAGGCCUCUGGCUUUAAUGUCUUCAGUAAAGAGUUUCACAAACAACAAGGUACGUAGAUUUAUGGUGGAUAGUUUAUUUUAAUGACAUGCAUGCCGUAUAUAAAAGUUGUGCAUUCACUCACUAUUCAGCAAAUGCACGAUUAUAUUAGAUCUCAAAGGGAAGACUCUCUCAGAUAAAUCAAAAUUGAUGGCAGAGGCUUGGAGAAAAAUCAGCACUGCUGAUAAGGAAAAGUACAAUGCAGUAGCAAACGAUAUUGAGGGUAGCAAUGAGGAGGAGGAUGAGGAGGAACUAACGCCGGAAAAGAAGAGGCAGCUCAUUGUUCGGGUUGCUAAGAGACAUCAGGGAGAUGUAGGUGUUGUGAGUACUGUAUGCCAAUCUGCUGCAAUCACUUGGUUGUGAGAUGGCUACAAUGAUGUUUGUUGAUAAAAAGUGUGGGAACCACAGAUGGGAAAAAAUUUCUUCAAUCUCACCCUGCAAUCCUGUCAUCCUUCAGCUCCUACUUUCUGUAUGAUGACCUGUCCAAGAAACAAUUUGCUACCCCAGCCACUGCAGCCUCGGCAAGUACAACCAGUCUCAACACAAAUUCCAGCUCAUUCAAUGUUACCUCAACAAACGCAAACCCAAUCAACACCACCUCAUCUACUACAUCCAAAGCUGUUAUUUCCACUGUGAAGAAAUCAACUACUAAAACUACAACCAAAGCAACACCUUCUGGAAUCUUGUCCAAUCAAGCUAUUUCUAACACUGAUACCGUCAGUACGAUUUUUAUGAAAGGCAGAGAUGGAAGUAUUGUUGCGACAGGUACAGUGCUUCCUGGUGUACAUAAAACCAUUCAUGGUCGUCCUUGCCAAAAAGAUUGUGAAACGCUUUCCGUUGUGGAUGUUGUACAAGUUGGUGCUGAAGCUUGGUUUGAAGAUGCUUUUGGGGAAAAUAAAUUGAGCACAGGGAUCAUCGUGGAAUGGCCGAGCAGUAUGAUAUCAAACGUAGCUGAUGUCUCCCCACUUCAUACAAGAACUAAUCGCAAACGUAAAUAACCAGCUGACUAUAAAACUACUAUGAUAAUUGUUAUAAUUAUUGUAUAUACAAUUGUAAUAGGAAUGGUAAAGGUUUCCUUCCAUUUUAUUCGCGAUUCUAUAUUCUCUC